ACCGCCACGACCCCCAUUUCUACCGAUCCAGGUCACAUGUGAGCCAGAUCUCUCAUUGCUAUCGGUUUAAGACCGGUUCGGCAACUUGGUUUACGCUUUUUAAUCUGAGAUAGCCCCGCCCACCUGCUCUGUGUUGCCAGGUGUAAAUUUGUUGAAAUUAAGACUACAAUAGUAACCACAUAACCUGUUACCUAGCAAAGAAAAAUGGAUGAUUGAUAUUUGUUUUUAUUCUGAAUUAAAUAUAAUUUUCUUCGAAA